GAUUUCCAAGAAAAAAUUCCGUGAAAAAAUGUCUAACAUUUGCAAGUGCCUCAAGUUUUCAUUUUCUCUUUCAUUCCACCUCUUAAAUUAAACCAAAGAUUAAACCCCAUUUUCUCUUCUCCUAUACACGAUAGCCAAUCAAUCUGACCCCUUCUUGCCGCUGCGUCAUUAUCCCCAUCAACAUGCGGCCAGGAUGAAUGGAAAUAUACUAUCCAUUCUGAUAUAGAUUUUAUGAAUCAUUUUGCCUCUCACUGGAGAUUACUUUGGCAUGGAGAUCUUCGCAACAAAGAGAACUCCAUCAUUGACAUGGAGAUUACUUUGGCACUAAUAACAGUGUUAUAAUUCUUGGCGAUAAAUGAUGCUAUCUUCUUGAAUUUUUUUUUUUCUCGUUAAUUUUUGAAAACUAAAGAAAUUGAGGCAUGAUAUGAUUUUUGUUGUUUUUGUAUUUUAAUUUGUUGUGUAUUAGCAUGUGAUUAGGGAGUGUUGUGGUUCUUGGCAGUAGAAUUUAAAGUACCUUAUAGCAUUAAUUUUCAGGUACUGUUAUUAUUAUUAUUAUAUGUGUCCAUUUUAUAUUUGUGAA